GUGAGGCAAAUUAAAACCUCUGUCUACCACCCUCAGACAGAUGGACUCGUGGAAAGGUUCAAUCAAACCCUCAAGCACAUGCUGCGCAAAGUUGUAGAGGUGGAUGGUAAGAAUUGGGACCAGCUGCUACCUCAUGUCCUUUUCUCCAUACGUGAAGUUCCCCAGGGUUCCACUGGAUUUUCACCAUUCAAACUAUUGUACGGACGGAGACCCCGGGGCAUGCUGGAUGUGGCCAAGGAAGCCUGGGAGCAGCAGCCAUCCCCCCAGCGCAGUGUCGUGGAGCAGAUGCACCACCGAAUGAUCCAGGUGUGCCCCUUGGUUCGUGAACACAUGCAGCAAGCCCAGGCACAACAGGCAAGGGUGUACAAUCGAGGAGCCCAGGUGAGAGAGUUCGAACCAGGACACAAAGUGAUGGUCUUGGUCCCCACGAAUGCCUGCAAGUUUUUAGCCUAAUGGCAAGGACCUUAUGAGAUAAUGGAACGAAUGGGACCAGUGAACUACAGGAUACGACAGGUUGGCCAAAGGAAAGGCAAGCAAAUUUAUCACGUAAACUUACUGAAGCCAUGGCAUGAACCUCCCCCUGUCCCCUCCAAUGUCUUCAGUGCCAACCUGUCUCCCCAGAGUCUACCGCCAGUGAAAAUGGGCGAUCAGCUGUCGUCCAUACAGGUACAGGCCCUCGGAGAACUGCUGGCCAGGAGCAAAGAUGUCUUCUCUGAGACCCCAGGGAGGACAACAGUCAUCGCCCAUGACAUUGAAACCGAGCCGGGAAAGACGGUAAGACUUCGACCGUAUCGAAUCCCGGAGGCCAGACGAGAAGCCAUCAGAGAGGAGGUGAGGAAAAUGCUUGACCUUGGGGUCGUGGAAGAGCCCCACAGUCUCUGGUCCAGUCCUAUAGUCCUUGUUGGGAAGCCCGAUGGUAGCAUUAGGUUCUGCAAUGACUAUAGAAAACUGAACGAGAUCUCUCUAUUCGACACUUAUCCUAUGCCCCGUGUGGAUGAGCUGGUCGAAAGGUUAGGACCUGCCCGGUUCAUCUCUACAUUAGACUUAACCAAGGGGUAUUGGCAGGUGCCACUAACGCCACAAGCAAAACCAAAGACGGCGUUCUCGACACCAGACGGGGCCUUCCAGUACCGGGUCCUCCCAUUUGGACUUCAUGGGGCCCCCGGCAUUUUUUCCAGAGGCUCAUGGACAAGGUGCUACGACCACAUCGGGACUAUGCAGCAGCUUACAUCGAUGACAUCAUUAUCCAUAGCACGUCAUGGGAUAUCCACCUCCGGCACCUAGAAGCUGUCAUCCAGGCCUUGCGGGAAGCAGGGCUGACGGCCAACCCUAAAAAGUGUUCCCUGGCCCUGGAGGAGGCGAACUACCUUGGGUACACUGUGGGGCGAGGAAAUGUCAAACCCCAAGAGAAGAAAGACGAUGCCAUAGCAACCUGGCCCCAACCCCAGACAAAACGUCAGCUGCCCCCCUGCCUGAGCUGACAAGCAAGAGUGCACCAAACAAGGUGAAGUGGACGGACCAGAGCGAGCAGGCCUUCAAUCCCUGGCCCUGUGCAGCGAGACUGUGUUGCACACACCUGACUUCAGCAGGAGGUUUGUGCUACAGACAGACGCAUCGGAGGUAGGACUUGGGGCGGUCCUGUCCCAAAUACACGACGGCAUGGAAUACCCGGUAACCUUUGUCAGCCGCAAACUACUACCACACGAGAGAAACUAUGCAACCAUAGAAAAGGAAUGCCUGGCAGUUAAAUGGGCCAUGGAAAAAUUACGUUAUUACUUGCUAGGCCGCGAGUUUGCAAUAGUAACUGACCACGCUCCACUGAAGUGGAUGGCCCAUAACAAAGACAAGAAUGCCAGAAUAACCCGUUGGUUUUUACACCUGCAGGACUUCAAGUUUACAGUGGAACACAGGGCAGGGAAGCUUCAUGGGAAUGCUGAUGCCAUGUCGAGAAGGGAUGAUUGCUGUUGGUCUGUCGCUCCCCACCGAGGUUCAGAGCUGAGGGUGGGGGUAUGUG
ensembl:lncRNA